GAGCACCAUACCCUCGGGAAACUGAGGCUAAUAGUGCAUCUCACACUCACCCUGGAAUGGCGAGUGUGUCAAACGCUCCGGCGCCGAAGGAUGUGGCUGCGGCCGAUUAGGUAGACGGUGGGGUAACGGCCCACCGUGCCGAUAAUCGGUACGGGUGGUGAGAGCCAGAACCCGGAGACGGAAUCUGAGACAAGAUUCCGGGCCCUACGGGGCGCAGCAGGCGCGAAACCUUUACACUGCACGACAGUGCGAUAAGGGGAUCCCAAGUGCGUAGGCAUAGAGCCUACGCUUUUGUACACCGUAGGGAGGUGUACGAAUAAGGGCUGGGUAAGACCGGUGCCAGCCGCCGCGGUAAUACCGGCAGCCCGAGUGAUGGCCGAUCUUAUUGGGCCUAAAGCGUCCGUAGCUGGCCGCACAAGUCCAUCGGAAAAUCCACCCGCUCAACGGGUGGGCGUCCGGUGGAAACUGUGUGGCUUGGGACCGGAAGGCGCGACGGGUACGUCCGGGGUAGGAGUGAAAUCCCGUAAUCCUGGACGGACCGCCGAUGGCGAAAGCACGUCGCGAGAACGGAUCCGACAGUGAGGGACGAAAGCUAGGGUCUCGAACCGGAUUAGAUACCCGGGUAGUCCUAGCCUUAAACGAUGCCUGUUAGGUGUGGCUCCCACUACGAGUGGGUGCUGUGCCGUAGGGAAGCCGCUAAACAGGCCGCCUGGGAAGUACGUCCGCAAGGAUGAAACUUAAAGGAAUUGGC
rnacentral:rRNA from 1 species